rnacentral:rRNA from 2 species
UGGCCCAAUUGAUUGAUGGUGCUUGCACCUGAUUGAUUUUGGUCGCCAACGAGUGGCGGACGGGUGAGUAACACGUAGGUAACCUGCCCAGAAGCGGGGGACAACAUUUGGAAACAGAUGCUAAUACCGCAUAACAGCGUUGUUCGCAUGAACAACGCUUAAAAGAUGGCUUCUCGCUAUCACUUCUGGAUGGACCUGCGGUGCAUUAGCUUGUUGGUGGGGUAACGGCCUACCAAGGCGAUGAUGCAUAGCCGAGUUGAGAGACUGAUCGGCCACAAUGGGACUGAGACACGGCCCAUACUCCUACGGGAGGCAGCAGUAGGGAAUCUUCCACAAUGGGCGCAAGCCUGAUGGAGCAACACCGCGUGAGUGAAGAAGGGUUUCGGCUCGUAAAGCUCUGUUGUUAAAGAAGAACACGUAUGAGAGUAACUGUUCAUACGUUGACGGUAUUUAACCAGAAAGUCACGGCUAACUACGUGCCAGCAGCCGCGGUAAUACGUAGGUGGCAAGCGUUAUCCGGAUUUAUUGGGCGUAAAGAGAGUGCAGGCGGUUUUCUAAGUCUGAUGUGAAAGCCUUCGGCUUAACCGGAGAAGUGCAUCGGAAACUGGAUAACUUGAGUGCAGAAGAGGGUAGUGGAACUCCAUGUGUAGCGGUGGAAUGCGUAGAUAUAUGGAAGAACACCAGUGGCGAAGGCGGCUACCUGGUCUGCAACUGACGCUGAGACUCGAAAGCAUGGGUAGCGAACAGGAUUAGAUACCCUGGUAGUCCAUGCCGUAAACGAUGAGUGCUAGGUGUUGGAGGGUUUCCGCCCUUCAGUGCCGGAGCUAACGCAUUAAGCACUCCGCCUGGGGAGUACGACCGCAAGGUUGAAACUCAAAGGAAUUGACGGGGGCCCGCACAAGCGGUGGAGCAUGUGGUUUAAUUCGAAGCUACGCGAAGAACCUUACCAGGUCUUGACAUCUUGCGCCAACCCUAGAGAUAGGGCGUUUCCUUCGGGAACGCAAUGACAGGUGGUGCAUGGUCGUCGUCAGCUCGUGUCGUGAGAUGUUGGGUUAAGUCCCGCAACGAGCGCAACCCUUGUUACUAGUUGCCAGCAUUAAGUUGGGCACUCUAGUGAGACUGCCGGUGACAAACCGGAGGAAGGUGGGGACGACGUCAGAUCAUCAUGCCCCUUAUGACCUGGGCUACACACGUGCUACAAUGGACGGUACAACGAGUCGCGAACUCGCGAGGGCAAGCAAAUCUCUUAAAACCGUUCUCAGUUCGGACUGCAGGCUGCAACUCGCCUGCACGAAGUCGGAAUCGCUAGUAAUCGCGGAUCAGCAUGCCGCGGUGAAUACGUUCCCGGGCCUUGUACACACCGCCCGUCACACCAUGAGAGUUUGUAACACCCAAAGUCGGUGGGGUAACCUUUUAGGAG